rnacentral:tRNA from 1 species
AUAAAGAUAGGCUAUAAUUUAUUAAGCCAUUAGGUUCAUAUCCUAAGGAAGCAUUUUACGCUCUUUAUU